GGGCGGUGAUUGGCGCUAUAUU
rnacentral:miRNA from 12 species